UACGUAGGGUGCAAGCGUUAUCCGGAAUUAUUGGGCGUAAAGAGCUCGUAGGCGGUUUGUCGCGUCUGCUGUGAAAACUGGAGGCUCAACCUCCAGCCUGCAGUGGGUACGGGCAGACUAGAGUGCGGUAGGGGAGAUUGGAAUUCCUGGUGUAGCGGUGGAAUGCGCAGAUAUCAGGAGGAACACCGAUGGCGAAGGCAGAUCUCUGGGCCGUAACUGACGCUGAGGAGCGAAAGCGUGGGGAGCAAACGGG
rnacentral:rRNA from 1 species